AGCAGCAGCCGCGGUAGUACGGAGGGUGCAAGCGUUAAUCGGAAUUACUGGGCGUAAAGCGCACGCAGGCGGUCUGACAAGUCAGAUGUGAAAUCCCCGGGCUUAACCUGGGAACUGCAUUUGAAACUGUCAGGCUGGAGUCUUGUAGAGGGGGGUAGAAUUCCAGGUGUAGCGGUGAAAUGCGUAGAGAUCUGGAGGAAUACCGGUGGCGAAGGCGGCCCCCUGGACAAAGACUGACGCUCAGGUGCGAAAGCGUGGGGAGCAAACAGGAUUAGAUACCCGAGUAGUCCCUGUCUCUUAUAC
rnacentral:rRNA from 1 species